GUCUUGUAAUUGGAAUGAUGGUGACGUAAAAUCUCACCAGAGUAACAAUUGGAGGGCAAGUCUGGUGCCAGCAGCCGCGGUAAUUCCAGCUCCAAUAGCGUAUAUUAAACUUGUUGCAGUUAAAAAGCUCGUAGUUGAAUUUCUGCGUUGCCCGACUCGGCUACUUGCCUUGUCUGGUUUCGCUUUUGGGGUUUUCCCCUUUUUACUUUGAGAAAAUUAGAGUGUUUCAAGCAGACUUGUGUCUUGAAUACUUCAGCAUGGAAUAAUAAAGUAGGACUUUGGUUCUAUUUUGUUGGUUUGUGAACCUUAGUAAUGGUUAAUAGGAACGGUUGGGGGCAUUCGUAUUUAACUGUCAGAGGUGAAAUUCUUAGAUUUGUUAAAGACGAACUACUGCGAAAGCAUUUGCCAAGGACGUUUUCAUUAAUCAAGAACGAAAGUUAGGGGAUCGAAGACGAUCAGAUACCGUCGUAGUCCUA
rnacentral:rRNA from 1 species